UACGGGGGGGGCAAGCGUUGUUCGGAAUUACUGGGCGUAAAGGGCUCGUAGGCGGCCAACUAAGUCAGACGUGAAAUCCCUCGGCUUAACCGGGGAACUGCAUCUGAUACUGGAUGGCUUGAGUUCGGGAGAGGGAUGCGGAAUUCCAGGUGUAGCGGUGAAAUGCGUAGAUAUCUGGAGGAACACCGGUGGCGAAGGCGGCAUCCUGGACCGACACUGACGCUGAGGAGCGAAAGCCAGGGGAGCAACGGG
rnacentral:rRNA from 1 species